AUACGUAGGUCCCGAGCGUUGCGCGGAGUCACUGGGCGUAAAGCGUCCGCAGCCGGCCCCGUAAGCGGGAUGACAAAGCCCGCCGCUCAACGGCGGAACGGCAUCCCGAACUGCGGGGCUUGAGGCGCGCCCGGGCAGGUGGAAUUCCCGGGGUAGCGGUGAAAUGCGUAGAUCUCGGGAGGAACACCGAAGGGGAAGCCAGCCUGCUGGGGCCGUCCUGACGGUCAGGGACGAAAGCCGGGGGAGCAAACAGGAUUAGAUACCCUAGUAGUCC
rnacentral:rRNA from 1 species